rnacentral:rRNA from 1 species
UACGUAGGUGGCAAGCGUUGUCCGGAUUUACUGGGCGUAAAGAGCGCGCAGGCGGUCGUUCAAGUCGCGUGUGAAAGCCCCCGGCUCAACUGUGGAGGGUCACGCGAUACUGAUCGACUCGAAGGCAGGAGAGGGUAGUGGAAUUCCCGGUGUAGAGGUGAAAUUCGUAGAUAUCGGGAGGAACACCAGUGGCGAAGGCGGCGAUCUGGGAAGAUACUGACGCUGAGGUGCGAAAGCGUGGGGAGCAAACAGG